rnacentral:rRNA from 1 species
GGGGAAUAUUGCACAAUGGGCGAAAGCCUGAUGCAGCGACGCCGCGUGAGGGAUGACGGCCUUCGGGUUGUAAACCUCUUUCACCCAUGACGAAGCGCAAGUGACGGUAGUGGGAGAAGAAGCACCGGCCAACUACGUGCCAGCAGCCGCGGUAAUACGUAGGGUGCGAGCGUUGUCCGGAAUUACUGGGCGUAAAGAGCUCGUAGGCGGUUUGUCGCGUCGUCUGUGAAAACCCGCAGCUCAACUGCGGGCUUGCAGGCGAUACGGGCAGACUUGAGUACUGCAGGGGAGACUGGAAUUCCUGGUGUAGCGGUGAAAUGCGCAGAUAUCAGGAGGAACACCGGUGGCGAAGGCGGGUCUCUGGGCAGUAACUGACGCUGAGGAGCGAAAGCGUGGGUAGCGAAC